GAGAUGCUCCACUGAACUGCUAAUCAACCCUCCGGACCUAAACACCCGGGCCUCUC
rnacentral:tRNA from 1 species